rnacentral:lncRNA from 1 species
AUUAGCUAUGAAUUUGAUCUCUGAGAUCAUUUUUAUCGUGCGCGAAAGGUUUUCGUGUUUAUUCUUGUAAUAACAUUAGCUAUGAAUUUGAUCUCUGAGAUCAUUUUGAUCGUGCGUGGAAGUUUUUCAUGCGUGGAAGGUUUGUUCUUUUUUUGUUAAACAAAUUAAUGCUUUCACAGUGAGCCCUUCAAUGGCUUAUUUACUCUGCUUAUAUACUGUAUUUGAUUUAGGUUUUGCUAAAUUUCCUUAAUCCUGCUGCCCCAUCUUUGAGGUAGAAAAGCAAUUCCAACUUAAUUCUUAUGUGUUAAGCAAAUUAAUGCUUUCAUAAUGAGCCCCUCGACGGCUUAUUUGCCCUAACUACGCUGCUUUUGCUUUAGGUUUUGCUAAUUUCUUUUCAAAGCUUUUGGCUUGUAUUUGGCAUAGUCAAAUAUCUUGAACGCAAUUAUCUUGAGCAACAAAUACUGUAGUUUCCUUACUAUGUGAACUCUAGUUGAAUUACCAUGUGUGUCUUUUGAUCCCUUAAUAGUUAAUUUGUGAAUUGGGGUUCUGAUUUGGCGUGCCCGAUCUAAGUUUGCCCCCCAAAAAAAAUUAAAUUCUCUGUUGCAACGUGCCUAAUCUAAACGGAACUAAAAAAUUUGAUGCCUUUGACUUCGUUAUGUUGAUUACAAAAGAAAAUAACCAAGCUGUAACAAUAACUUCGUGUAGCUGUUCAUUUGUUUAUGUUCUAUUAGCUAACCACUAGGAGGCUAACCUAUCAAUUUAUUCUAUUUUACAUCAUAGCUACGUUACAAGUUGAAUCACGUUGAAUCAUGCACACGCAGCAUUUGUCGUACGUUGUUCCGUAAUGUGUUUUCUCUGUAAUUAGUUUGGUAUUAUGGCUUUACUAUUUCUAUCAAGUUCUGCUCAAAUUUGUUGUCACAGUUGGUCUCUAUUCCUCUUCAUGUUGUUGCAUCUCUUUCUUCUUGUAUUUGUUGGUGUUGAUUCCUUUUUAUUUAUCCUUGUAAAGUGGGGAAGUCCCAAAUGAGGACCACAAGGUUUGUGGCAAAUUUGUAGUAGUAAAUUAGUAGUAGUAUUAUAGUUGUAUUUUGCUUUAUCAGCCUCCUCAUUAGGAUCGACGGCGAAGAGAGAAG